UGCCAGUCAUGUGACAAAAGGCAUAGACUUAUAUUUGCUUCAUUGUUUUCUUUUGGGGCCAAUAUUUUAUAUUAUGAAGUGGUUUAUAGUGUAAUGGUUAUAUUUUUGUGUUUAUUUUAUAUAUGUACAUUCUUUAUUUUCAAUAAAAUAUCUUCAUAUACU
rnacentral:misc_RNA from 1 species